UUUGAGAAAUCAUAAUUCUUCAAAAGUUAAAAAAAAAAAACACCUUGUUCUUCUUUUUCUUUGUAGUCUCUGUUUCAUCUUGAGCAAGCAGUGCUAAUGUUUUACAGAGAGUACUCACCCGAUCUCGAGACCAUCAAAAUCGAUGACCAUCCGUACCAACACCGUGGGAACUGUUACUCGGCUUUGAACACACGAUCAAUGAUCUCGACACCGUUCUUAUUCCGAGGUGAUGACGCAACCCAUGGAUGAUGGAUGCAUGCAUCAUACGCGCCGUUGUAAUUACGAGAGCCAGGUUCCUAUUCUUGAUAGUUGAUACGCCAAGUCUGUGGGUGCAGCAGCGCAAGACUGUUUGGUUUCGUGGAACAAUCUACAAGAAAGACAUGACUACGAAGAUGGGCUUAAGCGAUAUCCUAAAAUGUCAAUAAUGUGGUUCAAAGAUUUUUUGAAGAAAAAAGAAGAAGACAUGAUGAAAAAAGCGAGAUUAAAAAGGAUUAAGAUUCCAGAAUUUGAAGCUAAUCAAAUAUAUUGUUUUUUUUUUUAUCAAAGAGGUGUUAUCAUUGGAUUAGAUAGAGAAUAACAUACAUGACAAUGAUUGUUUGGGAUACAACAGACAUAAAACAGUAAAAGUACAAUGAUAGAUAAUAGCAAUCGAUGUGAAGAGCUUGAGAGCUAUGAGCCACUUGCUAAGUAGCAAUAUGAAACUUGUAAGGUCAAGGCAAACCGAUGCAGACUCCAUGAGCAAGUUAAAGGAGUAUAAAGCCACUGUCUUGAAUCUUCGAAGACUUGGCGGAGAUGAGAAUGACAAAGCUACGUUGCCAAAAGGUCGAGCAUGGAUGUUGUGGCUCUGAUGACCGAUUACUACAAAGGCAGUUGUUGGUCCAAGGUUAAAAGAGUAGGCCUUUAAAGGGUUGUGGUAACCACUACUCCUUGGAGUGAAGGUCAUAAUGCCACUAAUCUUUAAGGUUAUGUGCAGGGACUUCAAAAAGUAGCAAAUAUGCGGUUUAGAGAUCUUUAAGAUUUGGUGAGGUAUAGGUAGGACAACGGUGAAGCAUCGGUAAUCCCCACUCCAUAGAGGUGGGAUCAUAAUGCCAAGUUUCACCAAGCUGCCUCCAUAAAUGGGAACAUCCCUAUUGUAUCCAACUAACAAGGUUUUCAAAAGGUUCCUAUGCCAUUCUAGCAACAAUGUUGAUUUAAGGUUCAACAGCAGUCUUCGGACUAAAGAGACCAUUAAACUAAACAAAUAUUGCUUAGGGUGGGAAGGAGUAGAGUUCAGAUCAAUACCGGAUACAUACUGGUCUCGACACAAGAGAUUAUCAAACAACCUAGAAGAAUCUAGUGAUCUGUUACCGAGAAUUACUCGACUUGACCAAACAGACAACACCGGUGCUAACAGGUUUGAACUUGAUAUAACAUUAUCUAAAUCGGGUCGGAUUAGGUACCAGUUCAGGGUUGUGACAUAGUUUAACCGAGGUAAACUAUCUACCAGGUAACUUAUAUGUGAGUGGAGAGAAGACCUGGGCUAGGGAGGUAGCUUCGGGGAAAUAGAGAACGCCGGGGUUGUUGAAAUCUCCAUCAAGAUCUUCCAUGGCUUCGGCAUCAAAACAGAGAUCCCGUCCAUUUGCAGCCAAGUAAAACACUUGGAGAGUGGAUGUAGAUCCGAGGAGCGGAGAGAUGUUGCAGUUGAUUGCGGGAUGUGCCAGAUCGAGGGAUAGAAAACAAGGUUACCGGGGUGGUCAAGGGUUUGUGGAGGUGGUUGCAAGAGGGAUGGACGGAGGUGGAGGGAAGAGGGGAAAGAGCUGAAGCUUACGCAUUGCCGGAGUCGAGAUCUGAGAUCUCAAAGGGCCUCCGAUGAAGAGAACAAGGACCUUAAAAGAAAUGUGCGGAAGGAGGAGAGGACGAGGGUUACAGAACCAGAGCCCAGCGACACCGAUCGGUCUCGACGCCGCCGGGGGAAGCUUUGUGCUAGAGAGGAUAUCAGCUAGGACGAACUCUCACUCAUAAUCAAAUAUAUUGUUAAGAAGGCUUAUAGCUGAGUUAUUUUUUGUUGGGGAAUCGAAAGAGUGUUUCUCCUGUUUAAUAGUAUACAGUUUCAAGUUUCAAUAAUCGAAAUAAAAUAAAAUUUUGAUAAAUUAUCGAAUUUGUAAAGAGUUUUUCUACUAAAAGAAAAAUCAUCAAAUAGAUUCGAAAAUAGCCUAAUUUCUAUGUCAGUUGAUCGAUGACAGUACAUGGUUUUAAUAGUAACAACGGUUGAGCUUUUAACCAACUGAUUUAGAUCAGAAUUAUAAAAUACAGUGGGAAUUAUUCUAAACUCUACUGUAGCCAAAUAAAAGAGGUAC